GUUGUCGAACAGCACCGCAAUUGGCCAACAAAAUUAAUCAUUCAACAACAAAGGCACUGGAGUAGAGAGUAAAGAUCUGUGCCUACGUACAACAUUUGUGGGCUGCAUGUCAAUAGCAGUUUUGAUCGGAUGCUCAAUCAAGUCCAGGAUUGAUCAAUUCCCACCCUGAGCAUUCAGGCUCACAUUCAUACCUUGAAAGUACUGAAUUAAUCUAACGUGCACAUAUUUUGGAAUGUUGGAGCGACAUGGGGGAGGACUCGAACCCUGAACCCAAGAGCUGCGAGGCAGAGAUGCUACUUUGUCGGUCAUCGAGCUGCCCCAUUUCAAAUUCAUUAAAAAAAAAAAAAAUCUCAUCAAAGUAGACGCUGUUCCAACUGCUAAGAGGCGACCAUUUUCACUUGUUGUCAUGAUCACGUGUCCCAAUACCUUUGUUCAUUUUAUGCUCACGUCAACCUCUAAGCAGGAAGCAGCUACAUGUAUGGAGAGGUAUGUCCAAAAAGAAAAGGCCACUUUGUCGCACUCCCAACAAAAAAAAAAGCAAACAAGACAGCAAUUGGACCUCACACAUAGACAAGCCUGAGCAUGUAGGCAAAAACAGCAAUUGCAAUUUCAUGCGUGCAUGUCCCGGCAGUGCGUGAGCGUUUCUGUGUGUUCGUGUGGGUGUGUGUAAUUACAAGUGGGUGUGUUUGGUGACAGGCUUAGGCACACGCUGAAACAGCUGAUCGGAGAACAUGCACGCAACUUGCUCAUGACAUGACAGUGGACCCUGCAAGAUCGCGAAAGCCCGCAAUGAUGAUGUCAAAACUACUCGGGGCCGAGUGGGCUCACAAAGACCUUCCGAACGCGCCUUCUUGCUACCCAAUAGCACCAUCAUUCCCACGAUGUCAUGCCUCCUCCAGUAGAGAAGGCUCGAGCGAGAUUUGCCGUACUUAUUUGAAGCAGUGGAAGAGGCAGUGGAGGUGGAAGUGCUGCUUCCUUGAUCUUGCUCAGCAGCGGUUGCACGGGCAGCGAAUGGUUGAGGUGGCAAGUGUUCUUUCUGCCAAGUGCACAGCCUCCUCUACGGUGCUUGUGAAACACAAAUCAAUGAAGUAAGCAACGAAAAUCACCUUCUUGACUUUCUCUGAAGUGGUACGGGGUUGCAGAUCAUCCAUGAUUGUUUUUUUUUUCCCCAUUUAUCAGGAAAUCGUCUUCCUCCACCUUGUUCAGUAGGCCAAUGAUGUCCUUUUUCCUCUGCUUCCAAGAUGACAGUUUGGCAUUUGCUUCAGAGCCUAUAGUCGAUUUGCGAAGACAUUUAGGGGCCGCGGAAGUUGGCAAACCCUCUCCAAAGUAUGCAAGUUACUGUCUUUUGAAAUGAGAUGCCAUCAGACGCACAGCGUAACAGAACUGCACAACAGGCCCGCUGCUGUUUGAGAAAUCUCUCAAUCAUUCUGUCAGUGGAAGCCCAUCUCAUCACGACAUCAUGACAAACUGAAUGUUAACAAGUGUUCAGGAUUGACGGAUUCUUCCUCAAUUCUCUCCUCCUUUUGUAGCUGCGAGAGAAGCCCUGCAAAAGAUGCCAAAGAGUGAAAUAUUUGAAUUUGGGGCACUUUGCUACAGCUCAGUUUGGAUUCUGGCCAAAAUUAAUUUUCACCAACCAAUGUGACUCUGCUUUAGGCAUUGUUUGCAUUCAGCUGUGGUUCACUCAAAACACUCACAAGCAAUUGUCCCACUGAUGUGAUCAAGUUUGGCAUGGACUGUAAUGAUUAAGUGGGUCCAGCUACUGACUCUGAGUGCUUUUGAAAGGACAUCAGCAGCAUCCUGUCCCUUCCCCGUCCGAUGAUUUUACCCUGUUGUCCUUCCCUGCUAUCUGCUGACCCGGACGGGGCGAUUUCCUUCUUUCCAUUUGUUCCACCAUCACAUGAACUCAUGGCGGUGGAAUGCACUGUGGCUAAAACAUGACUUUUUAUCUCCUUUUCCUUAUUUGAAAGAAAAAAAAAAAAACUUUUUUUUUUAAAUCACCAUAACGGGACAGUUUUUUUUUUUUAAAUAAAGGUGACAUUCCCCCAUGAUUUAUGAAGACACU